rnacentral:rRNA from 1 species
CCUACGGGUGGCAGCAGUAGGGAAUAUUGGGCAAUGGAGGCAACUCUGACCCAGCCAUGCCGCGUGCAGGAAGACGGCCUUCUGGGUUGUAAACUGCUUUUAUCAGGGAAGAAAAAGCUCCUGCGGGAGUAAUUGACGGUACCUGAGGAAUAAGCACCGGCUAACUCCGUGCCAGCAGCCGCGGUAAUACGGAGGGUGCAAGCGUUGUCCGGAUUUAUUGGGUUUAAAGGGUGCGUAGGCGGCUGUUUAAGUCAGGGGUGAAAGUCUGCGGCUUAACCGUAGGAUUGCCCUUGAUACUGGACAGCUUGAGUUUGGUUGAGGUAGGCGGAAUGGAUGGUGUAGCGGUGAAAUGCAUAGAUAUCAUCCAGAACACCGAUAGCGAAGGCAGCUUACUGAGCCGAAACUGACGCUGAGGCACGAAAGCAUGGGGAUCGAACAGG